rnacentral:rRNA from 1 species
UCUGGUUGAUCCUGCCUGUAACAUAUGCUUGUCUCAAAGAUUAAGCCAUGCAGGUCUAAGUGCACACGGACGGUACAGUGAAACUGCGAAUGGCUCAUUAAAUCAGUUAUGGUUCUUUUGAUCGCUCCACACGUAACUCGGAUAACUGUGGUAAUUCCAGAGCUAAUACAUGCUAACGAGCGCUGACCCUCCUCUCCUCUCCCCGGGGAACGGGAGGGAUGCGUGCAUUUAUCAGACCAAAAACCCAUCCUGGGGGUCUCGGGCCCCCCGGCHGCUUUGGUGACUCUAGAUAACCUCAGGCCGAUCGCGCGUUCUCCGCGGCAGCGACAUCUCAUUUGGAUGUCUGCCCUAUCAACUUUUGAUGGUACUACAGGCGCCUACCAUGGUGACCACGGGUAACGGGGAAUCAGGGUUCGAUUCCGGAGAGGGAGCCUGAGAAACGGCUACCACAUCCAAGGAAGGCAGCAGGCGCGCAAAUUACCCAUUCCCGACACGGGUACGUAGUGACAAAAAAUAACGAUACAGGUCUCUUUUGAGGCCCGGUAAUUGGAAAGAGCGUCUCUUAAACCCAUGGGUGAGUACCCAUUGGAGGGCAAGUCUGGUGCCAGCAGCCGCGGUAAUUCCAGCUCCAAUAGCGUAUAUUAAAGUAGCUGCAGUUAAAAAGCUYGUAGUUGUAUCUCGUGAGUGGGCUGGUGGUCCGCCAUGAGGCGAGCCACUGCCUGUCCCAGACCCUGCCUCCCCGGUGCCCCCCUGAUGCCCUUGGCUGAGUGUCCGGUUUCUUUCAGUGUUCAAAGCAGGCCGCCAAACUCGCCUGAAUACCUGAGGUAGGAAUAAUGGAAUAGGACUCCGGUUCUAUUUUGUKGGUUUUCGGAACCAGGGCCAUGAUUAAGAGGGACAGCCAGGGCAUUCAUAUUGCGCCGCUAGAGGUGAAAUUCUUGGACCGGCGCAAGACGGACAAAAGCGAAAGCAUUUGCCGUGAAUGUUUUCAUUAAUCAAGAACGAAAGUCGGAGGUUCGAAGAUGAUCAGAUACUAUUGUAGUUCCGACUGAAACUUAAAGGAAUUGAUGGAAGGGCACCACCAGGAGUGGAGCCUGCGGCUUAAUUUGACUGAACACAGGAAACCUCACCCGACCCGGACACGGAAAGGAUUGACAGAUUAAUAGCUCUUUCUCGAUUCUGUGGGUGGUGGUGCAUGGBCGUUCUUAGUUGGUGGAGCGAUUUGUCUGGUUAAUUCCGAUAACGAACGAGACUCCGGCAUGCUAAAUAGUUAUGUGGUAUCUCGCGGUCGGCGUCCAACUUCUUAGAUGGAGAAGUGGCAUUCAGCCACGCGAAAUGGAGCAAUAAUAGGUCUGUGAUGCCCUUAGAUGUCCGGGGCUGCACGGGUGCCACAAUGGUUGGAUCAGCCUUUUCGUGGAUCUCUCGCGCCCUUCUCGGAGAUCUCCACGGUUAUGAUGCAUGCCCUCGUCUUUUGUCCCACCCCGACCUGCGGGCGAUCACCAGUUCACGGGCCCGGGGGCCUCCUCGGCACGGCGCCUCAGCCGGCGCCUAGCAGUCGGCUUAGAACUGGUGCAGACAAGGGGAAUCCGACUGUUUAAUUAAAACAAAGCAUCGCGAAGGCUCUUGGCGGG